UAUAUACAUACAUAUACACAUAUACAUGUAUGUAUAUGUAUAUACAUACAUGUAUGUAUGUAUAUACAUAUACAUACAUGUAUAUGUGUAUAUACAUACAUGUAUAUGUGUAUAUGUAUGUAUAUA
rnacentral:miRNA from 1 species